UACGAAGGGGGCUAGCGUUGUUCGGAAUCACUGGGCGUAAAGAGCGUGUAGGCGGCCAGGUAGGUCUGCUGUGAAAACUCGAGGCUCAACCUCGAGACGUCGGCGGAAACCAUCUGGCUAGAGUCCGGAAGAGGCGAGUGGAAUUCCUGGUGUAGCGGUGAAAUGCGCAGAUAUCAGGAGGAACACCUAUUGCGAAGGCAGCUCGCUGGGACGUUACUGACGCUGAGACGCGAAAGCGUGGGGAGCAAACAGG
rnacentral:rRNA from 1 species